ensembl:lncRNA
GGAAAAUACAGUUGGGUGUGAGUGAGCAAGGGUUUAAGACAUAGAGAGAGAUGUGCAUUAUGCUGCUGCAGCAUUACGCUCACUAAACGGUUUGUGGCUCAGCCUGCCUGACAACCCCUGCAGCACAAACGAGAGAGAGAGAGAGAGAGAGAGAGAGAGAGAGAGAGAGAGCGAGCGUGCAAAAGACAGAGAGAGUGUGUGAGAGGGAACUGACAAAGGAGGGUGGGCAGGCUCAUUUGGCCGCUGCGGGGCUGCGUAGCAGAAGCAACGCAGCACUCUCCGGUGGCACACACUUGCACCAGCACAGACCCAGCAGCCGAGUCCUGGACCACCGGCCAUGGCACAAGCCGCCAAACACCUGCGUAAGAACAAGGAUUUAGAGGCUCUUGCUGAGCAAGAGAGGAAAGAAAAGGAGGAGGAGAGAGUGAAGAAGAGGAGUCGCUCACGGGACAAAAAGCGCAAGGAUAUCAAGACACAGGCAAGGAUGGAGAGGUGUCCAGUAUGGGAUGUGGACCUGCACUGCGACAUUUUGCUGCUGCUGAGUGUGAAGCAGCAGGAUGAACAUCUGCACCAAGGUCAUGGUUUUCUCCCAGAAAAGAGUGGGAUAUUCCUGGCCUUGCCCCUGGUGGAGGAGUAUCUUGGGAUCUUAUUCAAGAAUGCUGUGAGAUUGAUAAAUGGAUUGGGUCAGCAGCAGCAGUGUUGCAGUUGCUGUACUGGUCUGUGUACUGGUCUGUGUACUGGUCUAUCUAUGUCCAUAUCCACACCUACGGUCACAAGCUGACAGAAAGAAUAAGGUUGCAAGUAUUAGCACCAGAAAUGAGGUUCCUCAGUAGGGUUGCUGACUUACUCUCGCUGAUUGGGUGAGGUGCUCAAUAAUCCAGAAGAAACUUGGAGUAUAGCCACUGCUCCUGUG